rnacentral:rRNA from 1 species
UACGUAGGGCGCAAGCGUUGUCCGGAAUUAUUGGGCGUAAAGAGCUCGUAGGCGGUUUGUCGCGUCUGCUGUGAAAACCUAAGGCUCAACCUUGGGCUUGCAGUGGGUACGGGCAGACUAGAGUGCGGUAGGGGUGACUGGAAUCCCUGGUGUAGCGGUGGAAUGCGCAGAUAUCAGGAGGAACACCGAUGGCGAAGGCAGGUCACUGGGCCGCAACUGACGCUGAGGAGCGAAAGCAUGGGGAGCGAACAGG